UAGCGGAGGAAAAGAAACUAACAAGGAUUCCCCUAGUAACGGCGAGUGAAGUGGGAAAAGCUCAACUUUGUAAUCUGGCAGCUUUGCUGUCCGAGUUGUAGUCUCGAGAAGUGUUUUCCGCGCUGGAUCGUGUAUGAGUCUGUUGGAAUACAGCGUCAUAGAGGGUGAGAACCCCGUUCGUGACACGACUACCAGUGCUUUGUGAUACAUUUUCGAUGAGUCGAGUUGUUUGGGAAUGCAGCUCAAAUUGGGUGGUAAAUUCCAUCUAAAGCUAAAUAUUGGCGAGAGACCGAUAGCAAACAAGUACCGUGAGGGAAAGAUGAAAAGCACUUUGGAAAGAGAGUUAACAGUACGUGAAAUUGUUGAAAGGGAAACGUUUGAAGUCAGACGUGCGUUGUGCGAUUCAGCUCCGGUUCGCCGGAGUGUAUUUCGUACUAUUGCAGGCCAGCAUCGGUUUGGCGAGUCGGAUAAAGGUUAGAGAAAGGUAGCGGCUCCGGCCGUGUUAUAGUCUUUAACUGAAUACGAAUUGCUAGACCGAGGGACGCAGCGCGCCGCAAGGCAAAGCUCUCGGGCUUUUCGCGCUUAGGAUGCUGGUGAAAUGGCUUUAAA
rnacentral:rRNA from 1 species